GACAGAGGGUGCAAACGUUGUUCGGAAUUACUGGGCGUAAAGCGCGUGUAGGCGGUCGGGCAAGUCGGAUGUGAAAGCCCAGGGCUCAACCCUGGAAGUGCAUUCGAUACUGCUCGGCUAGAGUCCCGGAGAGGGUGGUGGAACUCUCGGUGUAGAGGUGAAAUUCGUAGAUAUCGAGAAGAACACCUGUGGCGAAGGCGGCCACCUGGACGGUGACUGACGCUGAGACGCGAAAGCGUGGGGAGCAAAC
rnacentral:rRNA from 1 species